GUUAGACCUAUAAUGUGUAACGUGCGUGCGGCGCAGGGUGAAGCACGUGACGGUGCUGCUGUCGGAGUCGGAGCGCGAGUGCGCGCGGCGGUGGCAGCUGAGCGAGCUGCUGAAGGCGGAGCUGCGGCGCGCGCGCGGCGCCGACCACAGCGCGCACAACGCGGAGUACAUGAAGAACGUCACGCUCAAGUUUUUGACACUGCCGCCGGGUGACGAAAGAGGGCGUUUGGUGCCGGUACUCCAGAAAAUUUUAACUCUGACACAAGAGGAGACGCAGAAAAUACAAGCCAUAGCCAAAGGUAUGGAUCCAAACCCAGGCAAAGGCUGGGGAAGCUAUCUACCAUGGCCGGGCAGCAAGUAACCAGCAAUAUAGACGCAUAUUGACAUUAUCUGUGAUCAAAAUUUUGACAUACUUUAUUUUUUGUAAAUUUCCGAUUUGUCACGGUAUUUAACUGUAUAAAAGUAUAGAGAUUUUAAUUUCUAAAUGUAUUUGAUAUAAGUUAUUAAAUUCUAAUAUUAUUUAUAUUCAUAUAGAUAUUAGAAUAUAAGUAAAUGAUGGGUUCGCGUUAAUACUUCCCGUUUAUCGUAAUUUAUAACUGAAUUCGCUUUUAAUUCGAGAUUUGCGUAUAAGUAACCCAAUAUUAUAAUAGAGGCAACUCUUGUUUAAUUUCAACUUACAUAUGUAGGCUGUUAGAUCCUUUUAAACAUUACUUACUUUAAAGUUGAUGCACAGUCUAAUAUUUUACAGUAUAAAGAAACUCUCCAAUAUUUUUUUUGCCACUUCCGUAUAUACAUUUUCCAUUUCGAGUGUCCAUAAAAAAAUCCAAACGUUUGAUAGUAAUUAUUGAACAACUAAGUACAGAUAAGAAAAGGUCUAGGGAACAUGACCUCGUUAUAAGCUACUAUGCUUACAUGCACAAGGGAGCUAAUGCAUAUAUAUGGGUUGAAUUCGCGAAAUUAGAAUAUCUUAUUAAUAGAAAUUAUUUUCUUUUUAAUCUGUAAGAAAAUUAUUAUAACAGGAUGUGAUUAUUAUCGAAAUUUCCGAAUCACGUUCUGAGUUCAUGUACAUUUCAUAUUAAUUCCGCUAAUAUGUGAUUCAUCUAUCCUUGUCUUAUUAAUGAAUGUUUGUUAGGGAUUAACGUGUGAGCUGUUAGCGACUUUUAAAAAAAAAUUUGACACAUAGAUAAGCUACCUAAGCUACUAUUAUUUCAGUAAAUUACAAUUACGCAGGCCGCGCCCAUACCAUAAAUAAUGUUAAUUUUACUUAUUUUUUUUAGUUUUUUGCGUACACUAAAGGGAGUAUUACCGCGACCGUAUCGAAAUAAAAUAAAAUUGUAAUUAUCACAAAUAUACACGAUUUAUAAUUAUUUAUAGUUCUAGUUUCUAAAUCAUUUUCUAUAGCCGCUAUCAUUUCUUAAUUGCAAUAAAUGAUAAAACUGGUAAUUAUUUUAAAAAUGACAUUUGGCAUUUUUAUCUAAAUUACGCAACUUUGAUCAAUUAUUUAAACGAGUUGCAAACAUGUAGAUUACAUAAUGGAUUAGUACUAAUUGUUAGACUUGUAAACGUCAGCAUUAUAAUAAUUUUUGUGCGCCGGGCAUUUUGAACAUGAACAUUCCGUUAUAGAAUUAAUAAAAUUAGUCCUAAUGGAAAAAGUUAUUACUCAAACUUUAUUAGUACUACACUUACCUACGUAGCGUGAUUAAUGUAGCUUAAUACAAAUUGUACUCAUAUUACAUACUUCCAGAAUACCUGACUUGAAACAUCAUUACAAAUGGUUCAGUUUCCCAAUUAAACAUUUUGUACUUAUUUUUUCGUUGCAUCAUGGUGCCAAAUUAAUUAUGAUUACGUAGGUAACUGAAAGCCGGCUCAUCCCUUGUUUAUCAUAUUUUUGACAUUCUUCAAAUAACUUUACAUAUCGAUAAUAUUGUUAUGCCUAUUAUGUUAUUAUGCGUUAUAGGAAAUAUAUGAAAACUAGAAAUUGUAUACAAUUCUUAAAAUUAACGAAAGAACAAAACUUGCCUAAAACGAAAGAUGAAACCAGAAUGAAAAUGCCUUUUCAUUAUAGUCCUCGAUGGCAUAAUCGGGUCACAUUAUGAAUUGCUUUUAUUUGUCACCGAAAUGAACUUAUUAGGAAGGUCCCUAUCGUGGUAAAAAAUUAUUACAUCAAUAUACCCAACCGAAUGGGUAAAACUAUGACGUAGCUAGGUAAGGAAGGGUCCAGGUGCAAGAAAACAAACUAAAAUGGUGCCAUAAAAAGUAUAUUGAUUCAAAAUUUUUGGAAGAUUGAACACCGAUAGGGAUUUUUGCUGUACUCAGAAUUGUUAUAAUAUAUUGAGUUUUAUUUAAUACUUAAAGUCUUGACACAAACAGUGCCCACAUUGCAAAUUUUUCGGAUAUCAAGGAAUAUAAUCAAUUAAUUUCGCAUCACUUAGAUUUUGUCUCGCGGAAAUUCUAUCUGUCUCUAAAUUUACUGCCCAUUACAUUACGGAGACUGGCAAAGUAAACCCCUAUUUCCAUUACACUUUUGUUUAUUAUCAAGUAAGUAAGUAAAUAAUUAAUAUAGACUACCUUGGUGAUCUUAUAAAUUGUACGUAUGACCUACUUAAUUCAAGAUUAAGUAAAUUUAUGGAUUUCAAUAUUGUUGCAUACUUAAUUGACGGCAUAAGAUGUAUUUAUAUAUUACGAAUAAUUAUAUACCUAUCGAAAUAAAAGCUACAUAAAUAAA